rnacentral:rRNA from 1 species
UACGGGGGGGGCAAGCGUUGUUCGGAAUUACUGGGCGUAAAGGGCUCGUAGGCGGCCAACUAAGUCAGACGUGAAAUCCCCAGGCUUAACCUGGGAACUGCGUCUGAUACUGGGUGGCUUGAAUCCGGGAGAGGGAUGCAGAAUUCCAGGUGUAGCGGUGAAAUGCGUAGAUAUCUGGAGGAAUACCGGUGGCGAAGGCGGCAUCCUGGACCGGCAUUGACGCUGAGGAGCGAAAGCUAGGGGAGCAAACGGG